rnacentral:tRNA from 1 species
GGAUUGUGGCUCAGCGGUAGAGCACUCACCUCGUACGGACGGGACCCGGGUUCAAUCCUCAGCACCA